rnacentral:lncRNA from 1 species
UUUUGAUCUUUUCCAAAAAGGUGUGAUGAUCAGAGAGAGUGCGAUGCACUCAGACAAUACAUUAAAGGUUAAAGAGGAAGUAAAAGCUAAGGGAAAGAGCAUAAAAUUUCAUGAUGAGCUCAUCAUCAUUCCAUCUCCGUUCAAAGGAGGCGAGCCAGCUGAGGCAUCGAUUAGCAGCCAAAAGAGAGUCUUAAGCUUUCCAUUAGUCGCUAAACAUGACAAGACCCUUCCCAGAAAAAAGAAAAAAAGAAGAAGAAACCUACCUCCCUCUCCCCUCUGCCAUCAUCUUCCACGCUACUGCUAACCCAAAAAAGUAAAAAGCAAGCAAAACAAGCUCAAACGCUCCAUCGUCGUGGCCGUCUUCAUUAGCAGAAGAAACCGGAGUUGCCAUUGUCGAAGUUGAGGGCGUAGCUGAAAGGGUCGUACUGGAAGCUGAACCUCUGGUUCUUCUUCUUCUUCUUAUUCCUAGACCAGACGAUGAAGAUGAUCUCGUUCUUCAGCAACUGCCUCUUCAUCUCUGCCCUCACCCUCCAGAACAAGCUCCUCAGCUUCCUCCUCUUCCCGCCCAACAGCGCCACGAUCGCUUCCAAGCAAAGCUCCGCCAUGUCCACCGCCCCCAUCCCUCUAGUUUCCUCCGUUUCUUGCCGCGGUUUUCCCCACGGAACGAGGGACCUAGAACAGGACUACAAAAAGGAAUGUGUCUUGAGAGAGAGGGAGGGGGGGGGGAAACGGUAUGGUGGGAUUGGCUUGAAGUGCAAGAAUGGAGAGGGGUCUUUAUGGGGAGUGGAGCUUCUGUACUACCGCUCUCUCUCUCUCU